UGAGAAGCUGAAGGAUCAAAGGAAAAACCUCACAGAAAUAAUAGAAACCUGGAAUGGGCUCAAUGUCAGUCGAGCUCAGUGGAGCAUUGAUCAAUACUGUCCUAAAAAUAAUAGUGGGAGAAAUUGCACUUCUUGCCAGAAAGGCUGGAAUGAUCACAUGACCAGCUGUUAUGCAUAUAACUAUCAACCCCCUAAUCAGAGAACCUGGGAAGAAGCACGAGAAGACUGCAGAAGAAUGAAUUCAGAUCUGACUGUUGUGUCUAAUCAGGCUGAAAAGGAUUAUGUCAGUUCAAUCAGUAAUGGUUCAAGUGGCAUUAAUGGAUACUGGAUUGGUCUCAGAGCUGUAGGAGGGAAAUGGAAAUGGAUCGAUGGAAGUAAUCUGAC